GGAUGUAGUUCAGUUGGUUAGAGCGCCAGAUUGUGGCUCUGGAGGUCGUGGGUUCGAAUCCCACCAUC
rnacentral:tRNA from 1 species